GUGGGGAAUAUUGGACAAUGGGCGCAAGCCUGAUCCAGCCAUGCCGCGUGAGUGAUGAAGGCCCUAGGGUUGUAAAGCUCUUUCACCGGUGAAGAUAAUGACGGUAACCGGAGAAGAAGCCCCGGCUAACUUCGUGCCAGCAGCCGCGGUAAUACGAAGGGGGCUAGCGUUGUUCGGAAUUACUGGGCGUAAAGCGCACGUAGGCGGACAUUUAAGUCAGGGGUGAAAUCCCAGAGCUCAACUCUGGAACUGCCUUUGAUACUGGGUGUCUUGAGUAUGGAAGAGGUAAGUGGAAUUCCGAGUGUAGAGGUGAAAUUCGUAGAUAUUCGGAGGAACACCAGUGGCGAAGGCGGCUUACUGGUCCAUUACUGACGCUGAGGUGCGAAAGCGUGGGGAGCAAACAGGAUUAGAAACCCUUGUAGUCC
rnacentral:rRNA from 1 species